rnacentral:rRNA from 1 species
AGAGUUUGAUCCUGGCUCAGAUUGAACGCUGGCGGCAGGCUUAACACAUGCAAGUCGAGCGGGGAAAGGUAGCUUGCUACAUUUCCUAGCGGCGGACGGGUGAGUAAUGCUUAGGAAUCUGCCUAUUAGUGGGGAACAACAUUCCGAAAGGAAUGCUAAUACCGCAUACGCCCUACGGGGGAAAGCAGGGGAUCUUCGGACCUUGCGCUAAUAGAUGAGCCUAAGUCAGAUUAGCUAGUUGGUGGGGUAAAGGCCUACCAAGGCGACGAUCUGUAGCGGGUCUGAGAGGAUGAUCCGCCACACUGGGACUGAGACACGGCCCAGACUCCUACGGGAGGCAGCAGUGGGGAAUAUUGGACAAUGGGCGAAAGCCUGAUCCAGCCAUGCCGCGUGUGUGAAGAAGGCCUUUUGGUUGUAAAGCACUUUAAGCGAGGAGGAGGCUACUUAGAUUAAUACUCUAGGAUAGUGGACGUUACUCGCAGAAUAAGCACCGGCUAACUCUGUGCCAGCAGCCGCGGUAAUACAGAGGGUGCGAGCGUUAAUCGGAUUUACUGGGCGUAAAGCGUGCGUAGGCGGCUUCUUAAGUCGGAUGUGAAAUCCCUGAGCUUAACUUAGGAAUUGCAUUCGAUACUGGGAAGCUAGAGUAUGGGAGAGGAUGGUAGAAUUCCAGGUGUAGCGGUGAAAUGCGUAGA